UUUCCGCUAAUAGCGUCCUCGUUUUGUC
rnacentral:sRNA from 1 species